UACGUAGGGGGCAAGCGUUGUCCGGAAUCAUUGGGCGUAAAGAGCGUGUAGGCGGCCCGAUAAGUCCGCUGUGAAAGUCCAGGGCUCAACCCUGGAAUGCCGGUGGAUACUGUCGGGCUCGAAUCCGGAAGAGGUGAGUGGAAUUCCUGGUGUAGCGGUGAAAUGCGCAGAUAUCAGGAGGAACACCAAUGGCGAAGGCGGCUCACUGGCCCGGUACUGACGCUGAGGUGCGAAAGCGUGGGGAGCAAACAGG
rnacentral:rRNA from 1 species